rnacentral:rRNA from 1 species
AAUGAACGCUGGCGGCAGGCCUAAAACAUGCAAGUCGAACGCUCUAGCAAUAGAGAGUGGCGCACGGGUGAGUAACACGUGGGAAUAUGCCUUUUGGUACGGAACAACGUCUGGAAACGGACGCUAAUACCGCAUGGUCCCUUCGGUGUAAAGAUUUAUCGCCAAAAGAUUAGCCCGCGUCUGAUUAGAUAGUUGGGGAGGUACUGGCUCACCAAGGCGACGAUCAGUAGCUGGUCUGAGUGGACGAUCAGCCACACUGGGACUGAGACACGGCCCAGACUCCUACGGGAGGCAGCAGUUAGGAAUAUUGGACAAUGGGCGCAAGCCUGAUCCAGCCAUGCCGCGCGAGUGAUGAAGGCCUUCGGGUUGUAAAGCUCUUUAGUCCACGAAUAUAAUGACUGUAGUGGAAGAAUAAGCCCCGGCUAACUUCGUGCCAGCCGCCGCGGUAAUAC